ensembl:miRNA
AAAAAGUUCAUUUGGGUUGUCUGUAACAUCUUAUGGAAAAACCAAACGAACUUUUGG